rnacentral:rRNA from 1 species
AAUUUUGCUCAAUGGGCGCAAGCCUGAAGCAGCGACGCCGCGUGAAUGAUGAAGUCUUUCGGGAUGUAAAGUUCUGUCGACAGGGACAAUAAUGAUGGUACCUGUAGAGGAAGCACCGGCAAACUAUGUGCCAGCAGCCGCGGUAAUACAUAGGGUGCAAGCGUUAUCCGGAUUUACUGGGCGUAAAGCGUAUGUAGGCGGUAUUUUAAGUCAAACUUCAAAUCCCGGGGCUCAACCUCGGUUCGGGUUUGAUACUGAAAUACUUGAGUUUGGGAGAGGAAAGCGGAACUAACAGUGUAGCGGUGAAAUGCGUAGAUAUUGUUAGGAACACCCGUGGCGAAGGCGGCUUUCUGGACCAACACUGACGCUGAGAUACGAAAGCGUGGGGAGCAA